rnacentral:rRNA from 1 species
GACGAACGCUGGCGGCGUGCCUAAUACAUGCCAGUAGAACGCACAGUUUAUACCGUAGCUUGCUACACCAUAAACUGUGAGUUGCGAACGGGUGAGUAACGCGUAGGUAACCUGCCUGGUAGCGGGGGAUAACUAUUGGAAACGAUAGCUAAUACCGCAUAAUAUUGAUUAUUGCAUGAUAAUUGAUUGAAAGAUGCUAUUGCAUCACUACCAGAUGGACCUGCGUUGUAUUAGCUAGUAGGUGAGGUAACGGCUCACCUAGGCGACGAUACAUAGCCGACAUGAGAGGGUGAGCGGCCACACUGGGACGGAGACACGGCCCAGACUGCUACAGGAGGCAGCAGUAGGGAAUCGUCGGCAAGGGACGAAAGUCUGACCGAGCAACGCGGCGUGAGUGAAGAAGGUUUUCGGAUCGUAAAGCUCUGUUGUAAGAGAAGAACGGGUGUGAGAGUGGAAAGUUCACACUGUGACGGUAUCUGACCAGAAAGGGACGGCUAACUACGUG